rnacentral:rRNA from 1 species
GACGAACGCUGGCGGCGUGCCUAAUACAUGCAAGUAGAACGCUGAAGAGAGGAGCUUGCUCUUCUUGGAAGAGUUGCGAACGGGUGAGUAACGCGUAGGUAACCUGCCUUGUAGCGGGGGAUAACUAUUGGAAACGAUAGCUAAUACCGCAUAACAAUGGGUGACCCAUGUCAUUCAUUUGAAAGGGGCAACUGCUCCACUACAAGAUGGACCUGCGUUGUAUUAGCUAGUAGGUGAGGUAACGGCUCACCUAGGCGACGAUACAUAGCCGACCUGAGAGGGUGAUCGGCCACACUGGGACUGAGACACGGCCCAGACUCCUACGGGAGGCAGCAGUAGGGAAUCUUCGGCAAUGGGGGCAACCCUGACCGAGCAACGCCGCGUGAGUGAAGAAGGUUUUCGGAUCGUAAAGCUCUGUUGUAAGUCAAGAACGAGUGUGAGAGUGGAAAGUUCACACUGUGACGGUAGCUUACCAGAAAGGGACGGCUAACUACGUGCCAGCAGCCGCGGUAAUACGUAGGUCCCGAGCGUUGUCCGGAUUUAUUGGGCGUAAAGCGAGCGCAGGUGGUUUGAUAAGUCUGAAGUUAAAGGCUGUGGCUCAACCAUAGUUCGCUUUGGAAACUGUCAAACUUGAGUGCAGAAGGGGAGAGUGGAAUUCCAUGUGUAGCGGUGAAAUGCGUAGAUAUAUGGAGGAACACCGGUGGCGAAAGCGGCUCUCUGGUCUGUAACUGACGCUGAGGCUCGAAAGCGUGGGGAGCGAACAGG